rnacentral:lncRNA from 1 species
UGCCGCCAACCAGAUUGCCUCUUCCUCUCUUGCAUCCACCCAAACAUCAGGUCUAGGACCUAAAAUCUCUUGAAAAGAGGUUGGUACAAGUUUCUCUCAGAUCUGAAGUUGAUCUGAGGUCGUUUGAGGCAUGGGUGAGAUCUCCAUCAACAGAUCUACAGAAAAGGCUGCAGCAGGAUAGAUCUGCAAGGUCUGGCUCUAUCUACCUUCUUCUCUAUUUA